rnacentral:rRNA from 1 species
UGGGGAAUUUUGGACAAUGGGGGAAACCCUGAUCCAGCCAUCCCGCGUGUGCGAUGAAGGCCUUCGGGUUGUAAAGCACUUUUGGCAGGAAAGAAACGUCAUGGGUUAAUACCCCGUGAAACUGACGGUACCUGCAGAAUAAGCACCGGCUAACUACGUGCCAGCAGCCGCGGUAAUACGUAGGGUGCAAGCGUUAAUCGGAAUUACUGGGCGUAAAGCGUGUGCAGGCGGUUCGGAAAGAAAGAUGUGAAAUCCCAACGCUCAACUUUGGAACUGCAUUUUUAACUGCCGGGCUAGAGUGUGGCAGAGGGAGGUGGAAUUCCGCGUGUAGCAGUGAAAUGCGUAGAUAUGCGGAGGAACACCGAUGGCGAAGGCAGCCUCCUGGGAUAACACUGACGCUCAUGCACGAAAGAGUGGGGAGCAAACAGG